AAAACUUUCAACAACGGAUCUCUUGGUUCUGGCAUCGAUGAAGAACGCAGCGAAAUGCGAUAAGUAAUGUGAAUUGCAGAAUUCAGUGAAUCAUCGAAUCUUUGAACGCACAUUGCGCCCGCCAGCAUUCUGGCGGGCAUGCCUGUUCGAGCGUCAUUUCAACCCUCG
rnacentral:rRNA from 1 species